UCCUACGUACUGUCCGUCUUAUAUGAAAUUUUGUUGUUAGAUGAUAAAACAUGAUUAAUACUUUAUGUGUGACUUAUACUUUUAAAUUUUUUUAUAAUUUUUUUAAAUAAGACGGAAAAUCAAACGUUGGACACGGAAAUCUA
rnacentral:pre_miRNA from 1 species